UAAAAGGUAACCAAUGGAUGUUUAAG
rnacentral:piRNA from 1 species